rnacentral:rRNA from 2 species
CUCGUAAAACUCUGUUGUUAAAGAAGAACACCUUUGAGAGUAACUGUUCAAGGGUUGACGGUAUUUAACCAGAAAGCCACGGCUAACUACGUGCCAGCAGCCGCGGUAAUACGUAGGUGGCAAGCGUUGUCCGGAUUUAUUGGGCGUAAAGCGAGCGCAGGCGGUUUUUUAAGUCUGAUGUGAAAGCCUUCGGCUUAACCGGAGAAGUGCAUCGGAAACUGGGAGACUUGAGUGCAGAAGAGGACAGUGGAACUCCAUGUGUAGCGGUGGAAUGCGUAGAUAUAUGGAAGAACACCAGUGGCGAAGGCGGCUGUCUAGUCUGUAACUGACGCUGAGGCUCGAAAGCAUGGGUAGCGAACAGGAUUAGAUACCCUGGUAGUCCAUGCCGUAAACGAUGAGUGCUAAGUGUUGGAGGGUUUCCGCCCUUCAGUGCUGCAGCUAACGCAUUAAGCACUCCGCCUGGGGAGUACGACCGCAAGGUUGAAACUCAAAGGAAUUGACGGGGGCCCGCACAAGCGGUGGAGCAUGUGGUUUAAUUCGAAGCUACGCGAAGAACCUUACCAGGUCUUGACAUCUUCUGCCAAUCUUAGAGAUAAGACGUUCCCUUCGGGGACAGAAUGACAGGUGGUGCAUGGUUGUCGUCAGCUCGUGUCGUGAGAUGUUGGGUUAAGUCCCGCAACGAGCGCAACCCUUAUUAUCAGUUGCCAGCAUUCAGUUGGGCACUCUGGUGAGACUGCCGGUGACAAACCGGAGGAAGGUGGGGAUGACGUCAAAUCAUCAUGCCCCUUAUGACCUGGGCUACACACGUGCUACAAUGGACGGUACAACGAGUCGCGAAGUCGUGAGGCUAAGCUAAUCUCUUAAAGCCGUUCUCAGUUCGGAUUGUAGGCUGCAACUCGCCUACAUGAAGUUGGAAUCGCUAGUAAUCGCGGAUCAGCAUGCCGCGGUGAAUACGUUCCCGGGCCUUGUACACACCGCCCGUCACACCAUGAGAGUUU